AAGUUAACCAAAACUUUUUGUUAAUACUAAGUGACAUUUGUUCAGGGUGGGCUUGGUGGAAUCAAAAAUCCGAAUCCUGGUUGGAAGCUUGGAGAAGAAUGAAUUUAUUACACUGGCUCAUGUGAAUCCCCAGUCAUUUCCAGCACCCAAAGAAAAUCCCGACAAGGAAGAAUUUCGCACGAUGUGGGUGAUUGGGUUAGUGUUUAAAAAAACAGAAAACUCUGAAAACCUCAGUGUUGAUCUCACCUAUGAUAUUCAGUCUUUCACAGAUACAGUUUAUAGGCAAGCAAUAAACAGCAAGAUGUUUGAGGUGGAUAUGAAAAUUGCUGCAAUGCAUGUAAAAAGAAAGCAACUCCAUCAACUACUACCUAAUCAUGUGCUUCAGAAAAAGAAAAAGCAUUCAACAGAAGGUGUCAAAUUGACAGCUCUCAAUGACAGCAGCCUCGACUUGUCUAUGGACAGUGAUAACAGCAUGUCUGUGCCUUCACCUACUAGUGCUACGAAGACCAGUCCAUUGAACAGUUCUGGCAGCUCUCAGGGCAGAAACAGUCCUGCUCCAGCUGUAACAGCAGCAUCUGUGACCAACAUACAGGCUACUGAAGUUUCUGUGCCACAAGUAAAUUCCAGUGAAAGCUCAGGGGGUA
rnacentral:sRNA from 1 species